rnacentral:tRNA from 2 species
GGAAAGAUGCUCGAGUGGUUGAAGAGGCACGCCUGGAAAGCGUGUAUACGCCAAAAGCGUAUCGGGGGUUCGAAUCCCCCUCUUUCCG